UGGGGAAUAUUGCACAAUGGACGGAAGUUUGAUGCAGCGACGCCGCGUGGAGGGUGUAGGCCUUCGGGUUGUGAACUCCUUUUUCUCGCGAAAAAGGCACAGUUUUGGCUGUGUUGAUGGUAGUGGGGGAAGAAGCGCCGGCUAACUACGUGCCAGCAGCCGCGGUAAUACGUAGGGCGCGAGCGUUGUCCGGAUUUAUUGGGCGUAAAGAGCUCGUAGGUGGUUCGUCGCGUCUGUCGUGAAAGCCAGCAGCUUAACUGUUGGUCUGCGGUGGGUACGGGCGGGCUUGAGUGCGGGAGGGGUGACUGGAAUUCCUGGUGUAGCGGUGGAAUGCGGAGAUAUCAGGAGGAACACCGAUGGCGAAGGCAGGUCACUGGGACGUUACUGACACUGAGGAGCGAAAGCGUGGGGAGCGAACAGG
rnacentral:rRNA from 1 species